ensembl:miRNA eca-mir-8967 eca-mir-8967
AAGUUAACAUAUCAGCACAAAGAUACCUGGAAGAAACGUUAAGACCCUUGACAAUCCUUGGGGAUAGUCAGGGGGAGCUGAGUUUCUCACUGGGGUCUGGGCCUUGGUUUA